UACGUAGGGGCAAGCGUUGUCCGGAUUUAUUGGGCGUAAAGAGCGUGUAGGCGGCUUUGCAAGUCCGUUGUGAAAACUCGAGGCUCAACCUCGAGACGCCGGUGGAAACUGCAAAGCUAGAGUCCGGAAGAGGAGAGUGGAAUUCCGUGGUGUAGCGGUGAAAUGCGCAGAUAUCAGGAAGAACACCCGUGGCGAAGGCGGCUCUCUGGGACGGUACUGACGCUGAGACGCGAAAGCGUGGGGAGCGAACGG
rnacentral:rRNA from 1 species